rnacentral:rRNA from 1 species
GAUGAACGCUGGCGGCGUGCCUAAUACAUGCAAGUCGAGCGAACAGACGAGGAGCUUGCUCCUCUGACGUUAGCGGCGGACGGGUGAGUAACACGUGGAUAACCUACCUAUAAGACUGGGAUAACUUCGGGAAACCGGAGCUAAUACCGGAUAAUAUAUUGAACCGCAUGGUUCAAUAGUGAAAGACGGUUUUGCUGUCACUUAUAGAUGGAUCCGCGCUGCAUUAGCUAGUUGGUAAGGUAACGGCUUACCAAGGCAACGAUGCGUAGCCGACCUGAGAGGGUGAUCGGCCACACUGGAACUGAGGCACGGUCCAGACUCCUACGGGAGGCAGCAGUAGGGAAUCUUCCGCAAUGGGCGAAAGCCUGACGGAGCAACGCCGCGUGAGUGAUGAAGGUCUUCGGAUCGUAAAACUCUGUUAUUAGGGAAGAACAAAUGUGUAAGUAACUAUGCACGUCUUGACGGUACCUAAUCAGAAAGCCACGGCUAACUACGUG